GCAGUUAGUUUCUCGUCUUCCGUUUUGUUUGUCUCAUCCCAGGGAAACGUAGCAGCCUUUUCCUUGAGUAUUUUUUGUGCUCUGAAAUUGAUCAAUAACUGAUUUAGAAUGAGUCAGAAUAUCUAAAAUAUAUACACAUCAGCUUUCGUAUACUAAUUAACAUGCAAACUCGUGCAGCUAGCUACACUUAAUGUUAAAUUUUAAAUCGAUGGCAAUAAUCCAUCAGAACUUUGGCUCGAAAUCUAAACUCAAACGCAACUAAAAGAAAUAACCAACAUGAAGAUGCCUCCGCUAUUCCCCAUAAUGAUUUUAAUAGUAAUUGGAUUAAAUUAUCGAAGCAAGUAGUACAAAUAAACAUUUACAUAGCAUGAGCUCAUGUGUUUUUCAUAAUAUUAUUUAAAUGAAGCCUCAUUUAAUUGAUAUAUACAAUUUGUUACGCAUGCAGAUGUUUACCUUAUGGGCCAAAAGCGACAAUCUUCAUCAACUGAGGAGUCGUUUUGGGUUUCACUGUGGAACGCGCAAAAUGAAUGCAAAUGAAAAGCCAAGGAAAACAACAGACAGAGUACAUAUAGAGAGAUAGAUAGGAAUAGAGUACAUAGACAUUAAGAGAAGAAGCACAGAUAUGAAACUUGGCUGAGUAUAUGAGUAUGAAGCACUAGUACACACAGUUCCAAUUAAUGCCUGGGCAAGAUUCGACGCGGAUUACUUACGGAUUCGUGGACAGGGAAUCGGUGCGGCUGCCAUUGUUCGCCUCCAGGCUGCUGGGAGUUCGCUUUUUGGCGGCACGCUUGAAAUUCUCGCUGAAAUAGUCGCGUCCAUUCUGGGAGCUGGUCGUCGUUUGGCCACUUUUCGCCUGCUGUGUGGGCGGCACUGUGU
rnacentral:sRNA from 1 species